UACGUAGGGGGCGAGCGUUGUCCGAAGUUACUGGGCGUAAAGCGCGCGUAGGCGGGGAAUUAAGUGAGAAGUGAAAGGCUGGGGCUCAACCUCAUGCAGUGCUUCUCAUACUGGUUCUCUUGAGGGCGGUAGAGAGAAGUGGAAUGGCUGGUGUAGCGGUGAAAUGCGCAGAUAUCAGGAGGAACACCAAUGGCGAAGGCAGCUCGCUGGGACGGUACUGACGCUGAGACGCGAAAAGCGUGGGGGAGCAAACAGG
rnacentral:rRNA from 1 species